UUCCACGGGUCCAAGCAAAUUAGAAAUUUCAGUACACUUUGCACUCUUUUCUCUUAAGGAAAGAGCUAGGAAGCUCUCGAGUCUGCAGGUUCACACACCAAAAGAAAGACAAAAGCUCCACCUCAUUCUUCUUUCUACUCUCUCAAAGAAAAUUAGAAGACUAAAAAAAAAAAAAAAAAACCUUUCUUAAGCUCUCUACCUCUCAUAUUUUCGGGUCCAGCCACUAGAAAAGGGAGAUUCUUUCAUGAGUGAUUCUAUUUCUACUUACCCUCAAGAACCAGAAAUUUGGUGUUACCAGUUCCCUAGGUUUAAACACCUUCGACUGUAAGCUCUCGGUUCCUCUGCUUUCAGUCAACAGGUUUUAUUUUGGAGCAGGGGGAGCCUUAGUCGAGUUUUGGAAGGAGUUGGUUUUAGUUUUAUAUGUAUAAAUCCUAAAUUAGUAAUUCGAUGUUUAGAUUUGUAGUAUGGUGUAUUUUAGGAUCUAAUGAAAGUUGUGCACCUUAAAGUAUUAAGAGAUGUAUUAUGUGAAAGUGUGAAUAUUGAAUGAUU